UUCUUGCUGUUCCAACGAGCACGUCGGUGAGUCUCCUGUACACCUGCCGCUGUGUCCUCAAGCUUUCCUUCCCAUCCGACAGACCCCUGGAAGUGGAAUGGGUGGGUCAAAAGGCCUCAGCCUUUCUCAUUGUCUGCCGUGCUCAGAGGCGUGCUAUCCCGGAACGCUCUGCUCCCAACCACCAGGAUGGAAUCACAAGACUGCGGAGGGCGCAAGUUAACUGAGGAUACUCUGUCUGAGGCUGGCAUCGGUCCUAUGAGAACACCUCAGUUCCUCCUGAGAGAUUCCUGAGACUUCCAGGAGCUGAGGGCUCCCAGCUCAGUCAUCUCCCCCACCCACAACUCUGCAAGAAAGAUGUUAUUAUCCUUAUUGUAUAGGUGGGUCAUGUGACUGCAUUGGUGGAGUUGUCCCAUUUUACAGA